rnacentral:rRNA from 1 species
CCCUCGGCUCAACCGGGGAAUUGCUUGGUAUACUGCGGUUCUUGAGACCAGUAGGGGCAGCCGGAACUCUAGGUGGACCGGUGAAAUGCAUAGAUAUCUAGAGGAACGCCAAAGGUGAAGACAGGCUGCUGGGCUGGACCUGACGCUGAGGCACGAAAGCGUGGGGAGCAAACAGGAUUAGAUACCCUGGUAGUCCACGCCGUAAACGUUGUGCACUAGGUCCCGGAGGUUUUGACGCCAUCGGGGCUGGAGCAAAAGUAUUAAGUGCACCGCCUGGGGAGUACGGUCGCAAGGCUAAAACUCAAAGGAAUUGACGGGGGCUCACACAAGCGGUGGAGCAUGUGGCUUAAUUCGAAGCAACGCGAAGAACCUUAUCCUGGGUUUGACAUGUAUGGAUUAACCUCGUGAAAGCGAGGCCACGCCCUUUGGGUGGAACAUACACAGGUGCUGCAUGGCUGUCGUCAGCUCGUGCCGUGAGGUGUUAGGUUAAGUCCUUCAACGAGCGAAACCCUUGCCGUUAGUUGCCAGCGCGCCUUCGGGUGGCGGGGACUCUAGCGGGACUGCCGGUGUCAAACCGGAGGAAGGUGGGGAUGACGUCAAGUCCUCAUGGCCUUUAUGCCCAGGGCUGCACACGUGCUACAAUGGCGCGCACAGAGCGAAGCGAUGCCGCGAGGCGGAGCAAAUCGCAAAAAACGCGCCCCAGUUCAGAUUGUAGUCUGCAACUCGACUACAUGAAGGCGGAAUCGCUAGUAAUCGCGUAUCAGCAAUGACGCGGUGAAUAUGUUCCUGAGCCUUGUACACACCGCCCGUCAAGUCAUGGAAGCCGGGAGUGCCCGAAGUCGCCCNAACUCAUGGGUGCCUACGGCAAGCUCGGUGACUGGGACUAAGUC